rnacentral:lncRNA from 1 species
GCCCUGAGAGGGAGAUUGAGCCUGAGAGAGGAGAAGGAGUUUCUUCUUCUUCGAAAACCCUCGUCUACGACUCCUACCCCCUCACCCAUCCACUCGCCUCCCUCCCGAGCCCCCUCCACCCUCCUUCUCUUUGGCCGUGAGAGGAAGAGAGAAAGAGACCAAAAGCCUCUUAGCAACACAGACCUUUUGCUGCUUCUGCUGCUGCUGCUGCUGCUGCUGUUGCUGCUGCUGCUGCUGCUGUUGCUGCUGUUGCUGCUGCUGCUGCUGCUGCUGUUGCUGUUGCUGCUGUUGCUGUUGCUGCUGCUGCUGUUGCUUGGCCCUGGCUGGAGACAUCUCACUACACCCAGGAGCAGCCACUUCCCCAGCUCUCCUCCUUCUCCUCCUCCUCCUCCUCCACUCCCCCCCUUUAUUACCCUUUGUGUCAUCCUCCACAGCUCCAGGGAAGGCACUCAAAAGUGGGGGGCAGGAAAGACAAUUACCAACUUUCCAGUUUUCUGUGGAUAUGAAGAUUUACUCCUAGUCAUCAGUGGGACCCCAUGAAGUCAGCCAGAAAGCCUAUAUCCAACUAAUGUACUUUUGCAAAUGUGUCUGUAUUUGGAAUGUAAAUGAAUAACAGAUUAUGCUUAGCUAUUCAUUAAACAUAUAUGGAGUGUCUACUGUCUGUCAGGCACUGUAUUAGGAUGAAAAAACAAGGAUGGUCCCCAUAAUUUAUUGUGAAGUGAUUUUUAAAUUGUAUCCACAGUAUUUUGAUCAUAUCUAUAUUUUUGUUUACGUAAAUACAUUUUUAUUGACUAAAUAGGUGGGGAAAUGUAUGUUUAAGAAGAAUAUUGCUGUAUUUUAUUAAAAUAGAAAAAUAUAAAGAAAACAUUUUCAUUUAAUACUGUGUUCUGGGCAUUUCUAUUCUUUAUAUAGUUCACUAAUUUUAGACUAUGAAAAUAGAUGUGGCUACCAUUGCUGGAAUUUUACUGUGCUAACCAUAAUUCUUUUAAAGAUGACCCACACAGUACAUUAAAUAUUUUUCAAAAAAAAAAAAAAAACCCU